rnacentral:rRNA from 1 species
GAUGAACGCUGGCGGCGUGCCUAAUACAUGCAAGUCGAGCGAAUGGAUUAAGAGCUUGCUCUUAUGAAGUUAGCAGCGGACGGGUGAGUAACACGUGGGUAACCUGCCCAUAAGACUGGGAUAACUCCGGGAAACCGGGGCUAAUACCGGAUAACAUUUUGAACCGCAUGGUUCGAAAUUGAAAGGCGGCUUCGGCUGUCACUUAUGGAUGGACCCGCGUCGCAUUAGCUAGUUGGUGAGGUAACGGCCCACCAAGGCAACGAUGCGUAGCCGACCGGAGAGGGUGAUCGGCCACACUGGGACUGAGACACGGCCCAGGCUCCUACGGGAGGCAGCAGUAGGGAAUCUUCCGCAAUGGACGAAAGUCUGACGGAGCAACGCCGCGUGAGUGAUGAAGGCUUUCGGGUCGUAAAACUCUGUUGUUAGGGAAGAACAAGUGCUAGUUGAAUAAGCUGACACCUUGACGGUACCUAACCAGAAAGCCACGGCUAACUACGUGCCAGCCGCCGCCGUAA